CUUCGUGGUGCGCGGCCAGCUGGCGGCGGCGGGGCUGCGCGGCGAGCGGGUGGUGCGGCUGUACGCGCCCGCGCCCGCCGAGAUCACGGCCUUGGCCUCGCACCCGCUGCGCGGGGAGAUCUACUGGGCCAUAUCGGAGCGCGGCGCGGAGAAGAUCGUGCGCGCUCGCGGGGACGCAACCGCCCGCACGACGCUCGCUGACAACAACAGUGAUGUGCAUUUUGGCGGCGUCACAGGUCUGGCGGUAGACACGGCUCGCUCCACACUGUACUGGGUCAACGCGGCCUCCGCCACCAUCCAGUACGUGGACCUGCGCACGGCCCGCCUCGCCACGGUUCGUGCACGAUGCACGACGCACCAACUACUGCGCAUGGUGCAUGACGCACGCAGGCAUGGCAUGACUCAGCUUUAAGGGUGCC